rnacentral:rRNA from 1 species
AUUGAACGCUGGCGGCAGGCCUAACACAUGCAAGUCGAGCGAGAGGCGGACGGGUGAGUAAUGUGUGGGAAACUGCCCGAUGGAGGGGGAGAACAACUGGAAACGGUAGCUAAUAUCGCAUACCAUAAGAGGUGCCCAGAUGGGAUUAGCGAGUGGGUGGGGUAAUGGCUCACCUAGGCGACGAUCCCUAGCUGGUCUGAGAGGAUGACCAGCCACACUGGAACUGAGACACGGUCCAGACUCCUACGGGAGGCAGCAGUGGGGAAUAUUGCACAAUGGGCGCAAGCCUGAUGCAGCCAUGCCGCGUGUAUGAAGAAGGCCUUCGGGUUGUAAAGCACUUUCAGCGGGGAGGCGUUACCCGCAGAAGAAGCACCGGCUAACUCCGUGCCAGCAGCCGCGGUAAUUC